CACAAUGGCAGGUUGACCUGUCAGUGAUUGUGUGCUUUAUUCAUGACACAGGUGGAGCUGUGGUUUAAAUCACUUAGCCUCUUGGGCUUGCUGAUCAGAAGGUCAGUGGUUUGAAUCCCUGCGACGGGGUGAGCUCCUGUUGCUCUGUCCCACCUCCGGCCAACCUAGCAGUUCGAAAGCACACCAAGGCAAGUAGAUAAAUAGGUAGUGCUGCGGCGGGAAGGUAAACAGUGUUUCUGUGUGUUCUGGUUUCUGUCAUGGUGUUCCAUUGCGCCAGAAGCAGUUUAGUCCUGCUGGCCACAAGACCCGGAAAGCUGUCUGUGGACAAACGCCGGCUCCCUCGACCUGAAAGCAAGAUGAGCGCCGCAACCCCAUAGUUGCCUUUGACUGGACUUAACCGUCCAGGGGUUCUUUACCUUUACCUUUUACUCCUGAUAUAGGGUAUAUAUAGAUAUAGGUCCUGGUACAAGUGGAAAUUUGGAGAAAGCCAACUGGCACAUCUCUGAUCUCUCCAUGCAUUCAUAACCUCCAUCGAAUGUUUGCACUCUUGUUACAAUUCAUCUGGCAAACACACAAUUAUAUCUUACCUGUUUCCUGUGUCUAUAAUGACUCUAUCAGCAGACUUCAAAUGGCAUGAGAUUGAGGGAGUACUGUUUGGGGGGGGGAUGGGUGGGAAUAGCUUAGUUUCUAUGAAUUGUUAAGAUCUAUGUAGCAAAAACAGACAACUAUCUUCAGCAAGACCACCCUUAUAUAUUUUGAUUCUGUUUCAAACAGUAACAAGUCUUCUUUUCUCCAGAUAAUUUGUAUUGCAUCCCCUCGUGUGGCUCUGAGGCUCAGUGACCAGACUUCACUGGUACAUCUUCAGCUCCCCGUUCUCUCUGCUAGGCAUGGAAGGAUCUGUCAAUUUCCGUUCUCCUGGUUUCCACUCUUUCCAAUCUGAAAUUCCGCUCUUCACAUUUUG